CAGCAGCCGCGGUAAUACGGAGGGGGCUAGCGUUGUUCGGAAUUACUGGGCGUAAAGCGCACAUAGGCGGCUUUGCAAGUCAGAGGUGAAAGCCCGGGGCUCAACUCCGGAAUAGCCUUUGAGACUGCAUCGCUUGAACACGGGAGAGGUGAGUGGAAUUCCGAGUGUAGAGGUGAAAUUCGUAGAUAUUCGGAAGAACACCAGUGGCGAAGGCGGCUCACUGGACCGUUGUUGACGCUGAGGUGCGAAAGCGUGGGGAGCAGACAGGAUUAGAUACCCCGGUAGUCCCUGUCUCUUAUAC
rnacentral:rRNA from 1 species